CCAUAUAAAGUCACUUAAGCCAUAUCUUCUUCCUGUUUCCUGAGAGGUCCUCGGCUGGGGGUCUGCUCACAUGGAGGUCUCUAUGGCUUUAGAGGUCUUGAUUCUCCUUGCUGCCUGGAUUUGGCCUUGUGCUGAGAAUGUCUAUGUGAAAAUAGGUUGUUCUUUGGACUGGGUGAUGGUCUCUGUUAGCCCGUAUGCAUGCAGCAGCCAUCUGUAUAUAUUUGCUGAUGAGUAUAUCUGGGAUCGAGUUGCCCUGCAACUCGGAUACAAACAUAUGCAUAUGAUUUUAUAUACCCUGUCCAUGCCUGUGGGAUCAGGACAAAGGUUAUUUCAGAGGAUACUCUCCUUUUUCAAACAGAGAUAUACUUUAACCCUAGGAAUAUGCAUUGUGACCAUGAGAAAAUCCCUUUGGAGUGUUGUGCCUCUAGGAAAUCAGUGUGGCUCACACCAGUUUCUACAGAUCAUGAAAUAAAAUUGGACCCCAGUCCUUUUAUUGCUGACUUUGAGACAACACCAGAAGAGUUAGGAUUUUGAAAUUCUAGUCAAACUGACUCCAUACUUACAGAGAAAUUGAAACUUCAAAUUGAUGUCAUGAAUUUUGUUGGAAAAAUAGUUUUGUACAAAAAUAAUUGGUAUAAAUCUUUCCUUGGGUAUCUAAUUCCCUAAAACCCCUAAUCUAGUAUAGGUCCUGUUGCAGUGAAGAUGUAUUUUUAGAUAUUUUUAUUAAGAGCAUGUCUUAUUAAAGUUAGUUAUUAGAUAAUUCUGUUUCCUGUUUAAAUUUUGGUUUUAGUUCUAUGAGGUAGAUUCAGCAAUAGGUCUUCAUGACAAUACCUUUAAUUGAUAUAAACCUCCAAUAAAUAUGUUCUAAAUAUUUUCUUUAGUAAGGAUUAAAAAAAUAGAGCUAGGCAUAUAAAUGUGCCAGAGACUAAAAUUUAACACACUAACUCCCAGGAAAGACAAAGUCCUUUUAUAUGAAGAGACUAACUUGUGUGCACUUCGCUAAUUCAUCAGUAAAGCUGAGCCCUAAAAGUAGUUGAAUGUACUUCAUAUUUGGUUAAUAAUUAAAGUUAGAUUUAUAGUCUAGAAUUUAAAUAACCACAUCCUUAACUGAAGUUUGAGGUCAGGUUUUUCCUUUAUCCCUGAUAUGAAUCUUCAACUCUUGAAGUAAUUGACUGAGGUGCUCAACAGAGACUCAUCCUCUGUAGCCUUUAGAGCAUUUCACUAGAUGAUUUAUUCACCAGCCUUCAUGCCCUUGCCUUUUCCUUAAAGAAGGGAGUCUACCCCGUGUAAUACACCAAAGAUCACUCUGAGUUGGGGAAAGUUCUUCUAUCAAUUAUGAGAAUUAAACUGUGCCAUUUGUUAUUUAGUUGCUUAUUGAAUUUACAUUUUGGAUGUUAUAUCUUUCUGGAAACAGAUUUUGUUAAAAUAUUUUUAUUUAGUUUUUUAAAAAAUUUAAAGUGCUACUAUUUUCUCAUUGCCAAUAAAAUGCUGCAUACAGUUGUUUGCUUGAA
rnacentral:lncRNA from 1 species